rnacentral:rRNA from 1 species
AGAGUUUGAUCAUGGCUCAGGACGAACGCUGGCGGCGCGCCUAACACAUGCAAGUCGAACGGAAUCAAGAGGAGCUUGCUUUUCUUGAUUUAGUGGCGAACGGGUGAGUAACGCGUGAGUAACCUGCCCUGGAGUGGGGGACAACAGUUGGAAACGACUGCUAAUACCGCAUAAGCCCACGGUACCGCAUGGUACUGAGGGAAAAGGAUUUAUUCGCUUCAGGAUGGACUCGCGUCCAAUUAGCUAGUUGGUGAGGUAACGGCCACCAAGGCGACGAUUGGUAGCCGGACUGAGAGGUUGAACGGCCACAUUGGGACUGAGACACGGCCCAGACUCCUACGGGAGGCA